rnacentral:rRNA from 1 species
AGCGAACGCUGGCGGCAGGCUUAACACAUGCAAGUCGAACGGGCGCAGCAAUGCGUCAGUGGCAGACGGGUGAGGAACGCGUGGGAACAUGCCCUUUGGUUCGGAAUAACUCAGGGAAACUUGAGCUAAUACCGGAUAAGCCCUUACGGGGAAAGAUUUAUCGCCGAAGGAUUGGCCCGCGUCUGAUUAGCUAGUUGGUGAGGUAACGGCUCACCAAGGCGACGAUCAGUAGCUGGUCUGAGAGGAUGAUCAGCCACACUGGGACUGAGACACGGCCCAGACUCCUACGGGAGGCAGCAGUGGGGAAUAUUGGACAAUGGGCGCAAGCCUGAUCCAGCCAUGCCGCGUGAGUGAUGAAGGCCUUAGGGUUGUAAAGCUCUUUUACCCGGGAAGAUAAUGACUGUACCGGGAGAAUAAGCCCCGGCUAACUUCGUGCCAGCCGCCGCCGUAACAC